rnacentral:misc_RNA from 1 species
GUAGCGAUGCUUCAGGAAAAAGGUAACUGGCAUUAGAAAUAGUUUUCAUUCUAAUGGAGGGUUGUAGUUGCUAUAUUAGGACACAAUUUCUUUCUGAUUCUUUUUCUUCCCAUUUUGGUUUUUCCUUUCAAGUUCCCUGUUUUUAUGGAAUGGUCUUCCAUUCUUUGUUUUCCGUGCUUUUGCUUAAAAAGAACAUCACCAAGUAAAUAAGAAAAUCUGGAGAAUCACUGUUUUAAUGGCUCUUUUCUUUUGCAUUUUUGCUGUAUAUGGUGUCCUCCUACCUUCAACUCUCAUUAUCUUUGCCCUUGCUGUGUGUAUCAUUUGCUUAUUUGCUAUUUAUGUGCAAGCAGUUGCCAAGUUAUCAAUACAAAUUUAUUUGGAUUUUCUCAUCCACUAUUUAAAUUGUUCUAUGCAAUAUUUGUGUGCAUUGGGAGGAUUUCCUUUGUUGGUCAUAUAUUUCUUGGACAUCUGGGGCAUGUUUACUUAUGGAAAAUUGGAGUAUUUUUCUUGAAAAUUUUCUAAAAAAUGGAAAAUAGAGUUUCAUUUUCAUAUGUGCCAAUUAUCCAAAGGGAGAACUGGAAAACUAUUUUUCCAGUUUUCCAAAAUUGAAC